UGGAUAGAAAAAUAUGCCUCGUGUGGGGCGAAAGAAACUUUGAUUAAAUCUAUCAUGCAGGCUCUACCGGUGUAUGCAAUGGGUAUUUUUAAAUUUUCGGCAUCACUCUGCGAGGAGUUGUCUCAGAUCAUAAGGAAUUUCUGGUGGGGUGACGAGGAGAAUAGGAGGAAGACUCAUUGGCUGGCUUGGGAUAAGAUGACUAAGCCUAAAGGUGAGGGUGGGAUGGGAUUCCGGGACCUCAGAUUAUUUAACCAGGCUCUGCUAGCGAAGCAGGCUUGGAGGUUGGUGGUUAAUCAUGAAUCUCUGUGCGCUAAAGUGAUUAAGGAAAAAAUAUUAUCCCCAUGGACAUAUUCUUGA
rnacentral:rRNA from 1 species